UUCAUGUUGGAAACACAAGUCGAUAGCCAGGUAUCUUAUCUAAUUUUUGUCAAGGUAAGCAAAACAUGCAUUUUAUCUAGAGUGAGUUGUACGGUCUAGUUUUGUCGUCAUACCUUCAUCGCCAAAGUUAACUAACCAGCCUACACGCAACCUUUGUAAAUAACUUCAAGGCAGCUAGCUCCACCAUCAACCACAUAUCCCUACAAGGAUAUGUAGCGCUUUAUGAAAUCCACGUAUUCGUUUAAUGGUAGCUAGGUGACUCAUCCAGCUAUGUGGGUUUAGAGCUUGAGGUAGUCACAUCAAACACGUACUUGGGAGUAUGGCAAGACGGUGCACUGUCUUUAUCUCAGCACAUAUCAAAGCUGCAGGCGGAAGUUAAAUCUAGAUUGUUUUUUUUCUAUUUUUAUUGACUUGGCCAAAGCUUUUAAUACAGUAGACCAUUCCAUUCUUGUGGGCCAGCUAAUGAGUAUUGGUUUCUCUGAGGGGUCUUUGGCCUGGUUUGCUGACUACCUCUCUCAAAGAGUGCAGUGUUUAAAGUCAGAAAAUCUGCUGUCUUAGUCACUGCCUGUCACCAAGGGAGUAUCCCAAGGCCCAAUCCUAGGCCCCGUGCUGUUCUCAAUUUACAUCAACAAUAUUCUGUAGCUCAGGCAGUAGGAAGCUCUCUCAUCCAUUUAUAUGCAGAUGACACAGUCUUAUACUCAGCUGCCCCCUCCUCUAAUUUUGUGUUAAAUGCUCUACAACAAAGCUUUCUUAGUGUCCAACAAGCUUUCUCUACCCUUAGCCUUGUUCUGAACACCUGCGUAUCAGAGAAGACAUCACUAUGUACUUGAGAAAUCUAUAUCCCAGACUCAGCCUACUACGACCCCCAAGACACGAGCCAUGAGAGAGAACCCCUACCAGAACACUAAAGAUGAGGGGUUCUCUGGAGACACCAUGGCCCAGACACAGUUUCUCUUUCCUGCCCACAACCCAACUGGGGUUUCUUUCUGAUUCAUGUCACAGACUUUCUAAACACAGAGACUCAACAUCGCAAGACUUCCGGGAACGCUUGGAAAGCAUACUCGGCAGACCAGACCAGGGUUUGAGAAAUUCUCUGUGUGGGAGGCCAAUGAUAAGGGCUCUGAGGUGCACCUCCAGGCCGACCCCACCAAGCUGGAGCUGCUGCACCAGUCCUUCAAGGUCAAGGAGGUUUUCAAGGACAAACAGAAGAAGACGAUCCUGGAUAAGGCACAGAAUUAAAUACACUGCACUCCAUCCUCACCAGCCUCUUUUUUUGUCAUUAGAGACCAAAGAUUUCAAUUCACAUUUUCAAUGUAAAUAAACUGCAUGUAGAAAGUUGUGUAGCCCGUAAAAGUGUCAUCAAUGUAAUAAACAUGAACUCAAGUUCCUCAUACAGCAGGGUUUGGAUUAAUUCCACCAAUUCAGUUCCCUCGUCCUGUAAAAUGUUAUUUAAUUCCCUUCCAAUUCCAGGUCAGUAUAUGAAUUUAAUCUCUCUCAAUUUCAGUGUUAGGUAAAAUUCCAAGAAUUCAAUUCCCAAUUCAAUAUUAUCCAUAACAAUUCCACAAAUUCAAUCCCCUCUCUGUUCACUCACUGUUUAGACAGCCUAGCCAUACUAGAAAUAUAGAAAUACAAGUUGAAAUCAUUCAAAACAAAUCCUGCAGUCCAUUUCAUUAAUUACUUUAACUGGGAAAUGUACAAAU